GUCUACGGCCAUACCACCGAGUAUGCCCAAUCCUGUCUCCUCUCAGACACUAAGCAGGAUUGGGUCUGGUUACUGUUUAGACAGGAGACCACCUGGGAAUACUGGGUACUGUAGGCU
rnacentral:rRNA from 1 species